CCAACCCCUGAGCGUCACGGUGAUGCCAAGCCCCGAGCAUCACGGGUGAACGUUGUGGUGACGCCAAGCCCUGAGCAUCACGGUGACGCCAAGCCCCGAGCAUCACGGUGAACGUCGCGGUGACGCCAACCCCUGAGCGUCGCGGUGACGCCAAGCCCUGAGCAUCACGGUGAACGUUGCGGUGACGCCAACCCCUGAGCGUUGCGGUGACGCCAAGCCCCGAGCAUCACGGUGAACGUCGCGGUGACGCCAACCCCUGAGCGUCGCGGUGACGCCAAGCCCUGAGCAUCACGGUGAACGUUGCGGUGACGCCAACCCCUGAGCGUUGCGGUGACGCCAAGCCCCGAGCAUCACGGUGAACGUCGCGGUGACGCCAACCCCUGAGCGUCGCGGUGACGCCAAGCCCUGAGCAUCACGGUGAACGUUGCGGUGACGCCAACCCCUGAGCGUUGCGGUGACGCCAAGCCCCGAGCAUCACGGUGAACGUCGCGGUGACGCCAACCCCUGAGCGUCGCGGUGACGCCAAGCCCUGAGCAUCACGGUGAACGUUGCGGUGACGCCAACCCCUGAGCGUUGCGGUGACGCCAAGCCCCGAGCAUCACGGUGAACGUCGCGGUGACGCCAACCCCUGAGCGUCGCGGUGACGCCAAGCCCUGAGCAUCACGGUGAACGUUGCGGUGACGCCAACCCCUGAGCGUUGCGGUGACGCCAAGCCCCGAGCAUCACGGUGAACGUUGCGGUGACGCCAACCCCUGAGCGUUGCGGUGACGCCAAGCCCCGAGCAUCACGGUGAACGCUGUGGUGACGCCAACCCCUGAGCAUCAUGGUGACGCCAAGCCCCGAGCAUCACGGUGAACGUUGUGGUGACGCCAACCCCUGAGCAUCACGGUGACACAGCCCCCUGGACAUCGCAGUGGUGCCAGUACCAGAGAUCGCGGUGACACCGGUAUCAGACACCAGAGUGACACCAAUACCAGACGAUGCAGUGGCACCAAACCCCAUGUAUCACGGUGACGCCAACCCCUGAGCAUCACGGUGAACGUUGUGGUGACGCCAACCCCUGAGCAUCACGGUGAACAUCGUGGUGACAGCAACCUCUGAACGUCACGGUGACUCCGGUACCAGACAUCGCGGUGACACCAACCUCUGAAUGUCAUGGCGAUGCGGCCCCCAGACGUUGCGGUGACACCAAUAGCAGGUAUCACGGUGACACUGCUACCAGACAUCAUGGUGACAGCAACCGCUGAGCAUCACGGUGACACAGCUCCCCCGACAUCUCAUUGACACCGGUGCCAGACAUCAUGGUGACGCAGCCCCCAAACAUGGCGGUGACAGCGAUACCACCCAUCACGGUGACACCAACCGCUGAGCAUCACGGCGACACGGCCCCCCUGGCACCCUGGUGACACGGACCCUCCCAGCUGUCAGGGUGACAUGGACCUCCAGGUGUCAGGGUGACACGGACUCCCAGCCGUC